CAAUAGCGUAUAUUAAAGUUGUUGCAGUUAAAAAGCUCGUAGUUGGAUUUCGGUUAAGAGCGACCGGUCCGCCGUUUGGUGUGCACUGGUUGGUUUUAACUUCCUGUAGAGGACGUGCUCUGGGUUUAACGACCUGGACUCGGAGUCUACGUGGUUACUUUGAAAAAAUUAGAGUGUUCAAAGCGGGCUUACGCUUGAAUAUUUCAGCAUGGAAUAACACUAUAGGACUCCUGUCCUAUUUCGUUGGUCUCGGGACGGGAGUAAUGAUUAAGAGGAACAGUUGGGGGCAUUCGUAUUUCAUUGUCAGAGGUGAAAUUCUUGGAUUUAUGAAAGACGAACUUCUGCGAANGNAUUUGCNAAGGAUGUUUNCAUUA
rnacentral:rRNA from 1 species